UUUACCCUACAGAUUAUCGGAAGCUCGAUUGGGUUAGAAGCUUGUCGGAGAUAUAUCACACUAUCCAUUGGUUCUAUCGGUAAUUUUGGAAGAUUUGAUUCUAGUUGUAAUGGCAUGUGUAGUAACCAAUUUUGCCCCAGGCCCAAUCUAAAACCCAAAAUAAAUAAACCAUCUACAUUUUUUAAAACCCAAUUACAAUACAACCCAAAAUAGAGACCCAAACCCAAUAAACUAAACCUAGCCCGAAAAAAAACAAAAAAUAAGAGAAAACCUAAGCAGAAAAACCAGCAGCAGCCACCCUCAACAGCAGCCAUGCUCAUCGCCGGCCCUUGCGCCUUUCCUCGCACGUGCUCCCACGAUCACCUGCAAACAC
rnacentral:lncRNA from 1 species